AACAACGGAUCUCUUGGUUCUGGCAUCGAUGAAGAACGCAGCGAAAUGCGAUACGUAGUGUGAAUUGCAGAAUUCAGUGAAUCAUCGAAUCUUUGAACGCACAUUGCGCCCUUUGGUAUUCCAAAGGGCAUGCCUGUUCGAGCGUCAUUU
rnacentral:rRNA from 2 species